UCUCCGUAGGUGAACCUGCGGAAGGAUCAUUAUUGUAUAACCGAGGUGCGAGGGCUGUCGCUGACCCGAAAGGUCGUGCACGCCCGAGUGCCCUCACACACAUCCAUCUCACCCCUAUGUGCACCACCGCGUGAGUCCCCCUUUGGCUUGUUCGGAGGGGGGCUUACGUUUUCACACAAACUUUGUAUGCAGUGUAGAAUGUAUUUUUUGUUUUUGCGAUCACGCAAUCAAUACAACUUUCAACAACGGAUCUCUUGGCUCUC
rnacentral:misc_RNA from 1 species